GUACCACUCUCCUGCCUCGGCCUCCCUAGUCCUAGGACCACAGGCAGGUUUGUUUUUUAAACAUGCUAAUUAAAUCAGAACGAGCGUUACAUUAUUGUUAUAUCGACUGAUAUUCCUUUAAAAAAAACUAUCAUAAUAAAUAACUUGGUAUCCUUCCAUACAAGGAACUUCUAGGCUUGAAAUGGAAAUUCACGUAUCUUCUGAAAAGGUAGUUGGAUCCACUGUUGGGGAGGCGCGUUGACCUGAAAGGCGCUUCAUCUUGAUUGAGAACUUCCUAACAGCUGGCUCUCUCACACAGUCGAGCAGUAACUCCUUUCGAGUCCACUUUGUAUUUUGUCCCUAAUUACUACUCACUAACAAUGUCCCAAUCUCCAUGAGUUUUCAUUGUAUGUUGACAUGUCUUUUGGGGUGUUUACUGUGCUGUUCUAUGAGCUCAUUAUUCCUAUUUUUUUGGGAGAGGUAUUGCUGUUUAAAAUUAUAUUUUAGUCAUUUCUAUAUUAGUGUAUUCUUGUAUAUCUAUUUGAAACUAUUCUAAUGGCCUGGACAACUUUUUCUUUGCUAGAGUAUGAUUUGUGUCAUUUACACAGGUUAUGCUAGACAGACAACAUUGUCCAGUGGUGUACAGGCUUUCUAGGUACGAUAGGCAAGACUGUGUGGUAAAUGUAGACUUUUAGAUUUGAUGACUUCUGUAACCUUAACAAAGACCAAAGUAGCCAGAGAGCACAGACUCAAGUCUGUAGUUGUAAAUGUCUGGUAUGCUGUAAGACAAAUGUUUUAUGUAGAAAAAAAGAACUAUUUGCUAAGUUCAUAAAGCUAUGUCUUUCGAAUACUGAGCAUGUCCAUGGCCUUGUGUAACUGUAUUUCUCCCUUAAUUCUGUAGGUUAUAGUAAAAAGAUGAGCAACGAUUUAUCACACAGCCAUGCAGGGCAGUGGGUGUGGUCUUUCCUGCUAGAUGUCUGUAUCUCAUAGGCCAAGGGGCUACUCUAACUGCUUGAAUUCUCCUCCAAUGCUUUCUUGUGCCAUACAGGUGUUGUAUAAAGAGAACCUUGGAAAAGGGAUUCCGAUCCCCAUCACUCCAGAGAUGGAGAGAGUCAAACACAAUCAAGAAAACUUUAGUUCGGUAUUUAAAAAAAAAAAAAA
rnacentral:lncRNA from 1 species